CUUGAGAUUGAAGAACCAUUGUAUUAAAAAGAGCAUUUUGUUUUUCUCUAUAGGUUGCUGUGCUCUUAAUGGACACACAAGGAGCAUUUGAUUCCCAGUCCACAGUGAAAGAUUGCGCUACUAUCUUUGCCCUCAGCACCAUGACCAGCUCUGUCCAGAUUUAUAACCUGUCACAGAAUAUUCAGGAAGAUGAUCUACAGCAACUUCAGCUGUUUACAGAGUAUGGCCGACUGGCAAUGGAUGAAAUCUUUCUAAAGCCUUUUCAGGUAUGAACACACCUUGCUUAUAC